AACAUCUAAGUACCCCGAGGAAAAGAAAUCAACCGAGAUUCCCCCAGUAGCGGCGAGCGAACGGGGAGGAGCCCAGAGCCUGAAUCAGCAUGUGUGUUAGUGGAAGCGUCUGGAAAGGCGCGCGAUACAGGGUGACAGCCCCGUACACAAAAGCGCAUGUGCUGUGAGCUCGAUGAGUAGGGCGGGACACGUGGUAUCCUGUCUGAAUAUGGGGGGACCAUCCUCCAAGGCUAAAUACUCCUGACUGACCGAUAGUGAACCAGUACCGUGAGGGAAAGGCGAAAAGAACCCCGGCGAGGGGAGUGAAAAAGAACCUGAAACCGUGUACGUACAAGCAGUGGGAGCCCCACCACCAAAGCAUUCUCUGGUGUUGAAGGCCCUGCAAAGCAGCAUCGCGGUGGCGGAGCGUCGUUUGCGACGCCCAACACACAAAACAAGCGGUGAGUGCUUUGGGGUGGGGUGACUGCGUACCUUUUGUAUAAUGGGUCAGCGACUUAUAUUUUGUAGCAAGGUUAACCGAAUAGGGGAGCCGGAGGGAAACCGAGUCUUAACCGGGCGUUAAGUUGCAGGGUAUAGACCCGAAACCCGGUGAUCUAGCCAUGGGCAGGUUGAAGGUUGGGUAACACUAACUGGAGGACCGAACCGACUAAUGUUGAAAAAUUAGCGGAUGACCUGUGGCUGGGGGUGAAAGGCCAAUCAAACCGGGAGAUAGCUGGUUCUCCCCGAAAGCUAUUUAGGUAGCGCCUCGUGAAUUCAUCUCCGGGGGUAGAGCACUGUUUCGGCUAGGGGGCCAUCCCGGCUUACCAACCCGAUGCAAACUGCGAAUACCGGAGAAUGUUAUCACGGGAGACACACGGCGGGUGCUAACGUCCGUCGUGAAGAGGGAAACAACCCAGACCGCCAGCUAAGGUCCCAAAGUCAUGGUUAAGUGGGAAACGAUGUGGGAAGGCCCAGACAGCCAGGAUGUUGGCUUAGAAGCAGCCAUCAUUUAAAGAAAGCGUAAUAGCUCACUGGUCGAGUCGGCCUGCGCGGAAGAUGUAACGGGGCUAAACCAU
rnacentral:rRNA from 2 species